rnacentral:rRNA from 1 species
CCUACGGGCGGCAGCAGUAAGGGAUAUUGGUCAAUGGGGGAAACCCUGAACCAGCAACGCCGCGUGAGUGAAGAAGUAAUUCGUUAUGUAAAGCUCUAUCAGCAGGGAAGAAAAUGACGGUACCUGAGUAAGAAGCCCCGGCUAACUACGUGCCAGCAGCCGCGGUAUUACGUAGGGGGCAAGCGUUAUCCGGAUUUACUGGGUGUAAAGGGAGCGUAGACGGCAGCGCAAGCCAGGAGUGAAAGCCCGGGGCCCAACCCCGGGACUGCUCUUGGAACUGCGCGGCUGGAGUGCAGGAGGGGCAGGCGGAAUUCCUGGUGUAGCGGUGAAAUGCGUAGAUAUCAGGAGGAACACCGGUGGCGAAGGCGGCCUGCUGGACUGCGACUGACGUUGAGGCCCGAAAGCGUGGAGAGCAAACAGGAUUAGAUACCCGAGUAGUC